GCCCCAGUGGCGCAAUUGGUUAGCGCACGGUACUUAUAGACAGUGUUCGUGAGCAAUGCCGGGGUUGUGAGUUCGAGCCUCACCUGGGGCA
rnacentral:tRNA from 1 species